rnacentral:lncRNA from 10 species
AGACCAAGGCCAGGCUUGCGACAUGAAAAGAAAAAUGGCCCCAAGUGGGACUGCCUUUUUUUAAUUCCAAGGAACAGCACCGGCCACAUCAGCACUGUUCUCGCCUCUGCCUCCAAGCUCUGUUUCUCAUCUGGCUGCUGAGAGAAGUUGCUGUUGCUCUGCCAGCAAAAUGUCUCUAGGAAGAAAGGAAUGGAAAAUAUGAGGAAAUUUCCUUACAAAAUCUCAAAGAAUCCUCGCUCAGCAUAACCAGUGAGAAUUAGCUGCACAAUGAACCACAUCGGAAAAGGCGAUCAUAAUUCCUCAGUGCCUGAUGCCCACCCAGAUUUACAGCAGGACCGCUCUUUGUGGAUCCACAAAAGGUUUCCACGUUGAGGGAGAGCUUCCCAAAUGGGACCGAAGACAUGAAUCUCAUAGGUGAGGACCCUCACUGGGGAGUCCUGAUGGAGAGAUGGGACCAGCCACCCUGGAACCUGAAUAAGGAAUUUGAAGACUUGGACUUGGGGCUGGAAAUGGUAAGACUGUUCUCAACCUUCGGACCCUGACAGGGCCUGCCCAGUCAUGACCAUCUCACACUUGUCCCUGGUGUAAGCCCCACCACCACCUGUUCCCAGGCUGUCAGAGGCACAGUCUUUAGGAACCCACCAGGGGUAUAACAAAUACACCCCAGCAAAGCUUGUCUGUUUUUGUUUCUUUGUUGUUUUAUUUUUGUUUUUUUGAGACAGAGACUCACUCUGUCACCCAGGCUGGAGUGCAGUGGCACAAUCAUGGCUCACUGCAGCCUCCACCUCCUGGGCUCAAUCCUCCCACCUCAGCCUCCUGAGUAGCUGAAUACAGGCAUGCACCACCAUGCCUAAUUAAUUUUUCUUUUUGGCUAACCAUCUUUCAUUCUUUUAAUUUUUUAUAGUACUUUCAGUUCUAC